rnacentral:rRNA from 1 species
UACGUAGGGCGCAAGCGUUGUCCGGAAUUAUUGGGCGUAAAGAGCUCGUAGGCGGUCUGUCGCGUCUGGUGUGAAAUCCCAUGGCUCAACUGUGGGCUUGCAUCGGGUACGGGCAGACUAGAGUGCUGUAGGGGAGACUGGAAUUCCUGGUGUAGCGGUGGAAUGCGCAGAUAUCAGGAGGAACACCGAUGGCGAAGGCAGGUCUCUGGGCAUUAACUGACGCUGAGGAGCGAAAGCAUGGGGAGCGAACAGG